UUGACCUCGGAUCAGGUAGGGAUACCCGCUGAACUUAAGCAUAUCAAUAAGCGGAGGAAAAGAAACCAACAGGGAUUGCCCUAGUAACGGCGAGUGAAGCGGCAACAGCUCAAAUUUGAAAUCUGGCGCAAGCCCGAGUUGUAAUUUGUAGAGGAUGCUUCGGGGCAGCGACCGGUCUAAGUUCCUUGGAACAGGACGUCAGAGAGGGUGAGAAUCCCGUAUGUGACCGGCCCGCGCCCUGCACGUAGCUCCUUCGACGAGUCGAGUUGUUUGGGAAUGCAGCUCUAAAUGGGAGGUAAAUUUCUUCUAAAGCUAAAUACCGGCCAGAGACCGAUAGCGCACAAGUAGAGUGAUCGAAAGAUGAAAAGUACUUUGGAAAGAGAGUUAAAAAGCACGUGAAAUUGUUGAAAGGGAAGCGCCUGCAACCAGACUUCGCGGCAGUGUUCCGCCGGUCUUCUGACCGGUUCAUUCUCUGCCGCGAGGCCAUCAUCGUCUGGGCCCGCCGGAUAAGACCUUGGGAAUGUAGCUCACCUCCGGGGGAGUGUUAUAGCCCAGGGUGAUGCGGCGCGGCUCGGGCGAGG
rnacentral:rRNA from 1 species